AAUAGCUCAGUUGGUUAGAGCAUCUGACUGUUAAUCAGAGGGUCGUAGGUUCAAGUCCUACUUG
rnacentral:tRNA from 1 species